rnacentral:rRNA from 1 species
AGCUUGUUGGUGAGGUAACGGCUCACCAAGGCGACGAUGUAUAGCUGGUCUGAAAGGAUGAUCAGCCACACUGGGACUGAGACACGGCCCAGACUCCUACGGGAGGCAGCAGUCGGGAAUCUUGCACAUGCAUGGGCGAAGCCUGAUGCAGCAACGCCGUGUGAGCGAUGAAGGCCCUAGGGUCGUAAAGCUCUGUUGUUAGGGACGAAGGGCGAAGGGUUAAUAGCCAA